UGCAUUGGAUUGAGAACAAUGUACAACUCUUAUCGAUAAGCCAUUGGAGGGCAAGUCUGGUGCCAGCAGCCGCGGUAAUUCCAGCUCCAAUAGCGUAUAUUAACGUUGUUGCAGUUAAAAAGCUCGUAGUUGAAGUGUGGGUGAUCGCUGUUGUGAGACUUCGGUCUCUCGAUAGUAAGUCACCCCCUUCCAGUAUCCAGUAGUGGGUAUUCAGUUACUUACUAUUGUGUGUUGGUCCUUUACUGUGAGAAAAUUAGAGUGUUCAAAGCAGGCGUUUGCUUGAAUAGAUUAGCAUGGAAUAAUAAUUGAAGGCUUUCGUGUUCGAUUUGAUUGGUUUGUUCAUGGAAGCAAGGUUAAAAGGAACAGUUGGGGGUAUUCAUAUUCACUAGUUAGAGGUGAAAUUCUCGGAUUUAUGGAAGAUGAACAAGUGCGAAAAG
rnacentral:rRNA from 2 species